rnacentral:rRNA from 1 species
AUUGAACGCUGGCGGCAUGCCUUACACAUGCAAGUCGAACGGCAGCACGGGGGCAACCCUGGUGGCGAGUGGCGAACGGGUGAGUAACAUAUCGGAACAUACCCUAGAGUGGGGAUAACGUAGCGAAGUUACGCUAAUACCGCAUACGAUCUAAGGAUGAAAGUGGGGGAUCUUCGGACCUCAUGCUCAUGGAGUGGCCGAUAUCUGAUUAGCUAGUUGGUGAGGUAAAGGCUCACCAAGGCGACGAUCAGUAGCUGGUUUGAGAGAACGACCAGCCACACUGGAACUGAGACACGGUCCAGACUCCUACGGGAGGCAGCAGUGGGGAAUUUUGGGACAAUGGGGGCAACCUUGAUCCAGCAAUGCCGCGUGAGUGAAGAAGGCCUUCGGUUGUAAG